UACGUAGGGGGCUAGCGUUGUCCGGAUUUAUUGGGCGUAAAGAGCGUGUAGGCGGCCAUGUAGGUCCGGUGUGAAAACUCGAGGCUUAACCUCGAGAUGUCAUCGGAAACCAUUUGGCUAGAGUCCGGAAGAGGAGAGUGGAAUUCCUGGUGUAGCGGUGAAAUGCGCAGAUAUCAGGAGGAACACCAAUUGCGAAGGCAGCUCGCUGGGACGUUACUGACGCUGAGACGCGAAAGCGUGGGGAGCAAACAGG
rnacentral:rRNA from 1 species